UACGUAGGGGGCAAGCGUUGUCCGGAUUUAUUGGGCGUAAAGAGCGUGUAGGCGGCCAGGUAGGUCCGUUGUGAAAACUCGAGGCUCAACCUCGAGACGUCGGCGGAAACCCUCUGGCUAGAGUCCGGAAGAGGAGAGUGGAAUUCCUGGUGUAGCGGUGAAAUGCGCAGAUAUCAGGAAGAACACCAAUGGCGAAGGCAGCUCUCUGGGACGGUACUGACACUGAGACGCGAAAGCGUGGGGAGCGAACAGG
rnacentral:rRNA from 1 species